UUGCUCCAUCGAAAGAAAAAGAGUGGCGAACGGGUGAGUAACACGUGGGUAACCUGCCCAUCAGAAGGGGAUAACACAUGGAAACAGGUGCUAAUACCGUAUAACACUAUUUUCCGCAUGGAAGAAAGUUGAAAGGCGCUUUUGCGUCACUGAUGGAUGGACCCGCGGUGCAUUAGCUAGUUGGUGAGGUAACGGCUCACCAAGGCAACGAUGCAUAGCCGACCUGAGAGGGUGAUCGGCCACACUGGGACUGAGACACGGCCCAGACUCCUACGGGAGGCAGCAGUAGGGAAUCUUCGGCAAUGGACGAAAGUCUGACCGAGCAACGCCGCGUGAGUGAAGAAGGUUUUCGGAUCGUAAAACUCUGUUGUUAGAGAAGAACAAGGAUGAGAGUAAAAUGUUCAUCCCUUGACGGUAUCUAACCAGAAAGCCACGGCUAACUACGUGCCAGCAGCCGCGGUAAUACGUAGGUGGCUAGCGUUGUCCGGAUUUAUUGGGCGUAAAGCGAGCGCAGGCGGUUUCUUAAGUCUGAUGUGAUAGCCCCCGGCUCAACCGGGGAGGGUGAUUGGAAACUGGGAGACUUGAGUGCAGAAGAGGAGAGUGGAAUUCCAUGUGUAGCGGUGAAAUGCGUAGAUAUAUGGAGGAACACCAGUGGCGAAGGCGGCUCUCUGGUCUGUAACUGACGCUGAGGCUCGAAAGCGUGGGGAGCGAACAGGAUUAGAUACCCUGGUAGUCCACGCCGUAAACGAUGAGUGCUAAGUGUUGGAGGGUUUCCGCCCUUCAGUGCUGCAGCAAACGCAUUAAGCACUCCGCCUGGGGAGUACGACCGCAAGGUUGAAACUCAAAGGAAUUGACGGGGGCCCGCACAAGCGGUGGAGCAUGUGGUUUAAUUCGAAGCAACGCGAAGAACCUUACCAGGUCUUGACAUCCUUUGACCACUCUAGAGAUAGAGCUUCCCCUUCGGGGGCAAAGUGACAGGUGGUGCAUGGUUGUCGUCAGC
rnacentral:rRNA from 1 species